rnacentral:rRNA from 1 species
GCGUACACGGUGGAUGCCCUGGCAGUCAGAGGCGAUGAAGGGCGUACUAAUCUGCGAUAAGCGCCGGUAAGGUGAUAUGAACCGUUAUAACCGGCGAUACCCGAAUGGGGAAACCCAGUGUGAUUCGUCACACUAUCAUUAACUGAAUCCAUAGGUUAAUGAGGCGAACCGGGGGAACUGAAACAUCUAAGUACCCCGAGGAAAAGAAAUCAACCGAGAUUCCCCCAGUAGCGGCGAGCGAACGGGGAGGAGCCCAGAGCCUGAAUCAGCAUGUGUGUUAGUGGAAGCGUCUGGAAAGGCGCGCGAUACAGGGUGACAGCCCCGUACACAAAAGCGCAUGUGCUGUGAGCUCGAUGAGUAGGGCGGGACACGUGGUAUCCUGUCUGAAUAUGGGGGGACCAUCCUCCAAGGCUAAAUACUCCUGACUGACCGAUAGUGAACCAGUACCGUGAGGGAAAGGCGAAAAGAACCCCGGCGAGGGGAGUGAAAAAGAACCUGAAACCGUGUACGUACAAGCAGUGGGAGCCCCACCACCAAAGCAUUUGCUGUACCGCGUUGACGGAGCGAAGCGACGUCAAACCGAUAAAACAGCAGUGUAAAGUGAGCCGCAGGGCGCUUUGCGCGACAGCGC